rnacentral:rRNA from 1 species
CCUACGGGGUGCAGCAGUGAGGAAUAUUGGUCAAUGGACGGAAGUCUGAACCAGCCAUGCCGCGUGCAGGAAGACGGCUCUAUGAGUUGUAAACUGCUUUUGUACAAGGGUAAACCUGAAUACGUGUAUUCUGCUGAAAGUACUUUACGAAUAAGGAUCGGCUAACUCCGUGCCAGCAGCCGCGGUAAUACGGAGGAUCCAAGCGUUAUCCGGAUUUAUUGGGUUUAAAGGGUGCGUAGGUGGAUUGAUAAGUUAGAGGUGAAAUGUCCGGGCUUAACUCGGGAAGUGCCUUUGAUACUGUUGGUCUAGAGUGUAGAUGAGGUAGGCGGAAUGUGUGGUGUAGCGGUGAAAUGCUUAGAGAUCAUGCAGAACCCCGAUUGCGAAGGCAGCUUACCAAUCUAUAUCUGACGUUGAGGCACGAAAGCGUGGGGAGCAAACAGGAUUAGAUACCCCAGUAGUC